rnacentral:rRNA from 1 species
UACGGGGGGAGCAAGCGUUGUUCGGAUUUACUGGGCGUAAAGGGCGCGUAGGCGGCGCAACAAGUCACUUGUGAAAUCUCCGGGCUUAACCCGGAGCGGCCAAGUGAUACUGUCGUGCUAGAGUGCGGAAGGGGCUACUGGAAUUCUCGGUGUAGCGGUGAAAUGCGCAGAUAUCAGGAGGAACACCGGUGGCGAAGGCGGGUCUCUGGGCCGAUACUGACGCUGAGGAGCGAAAGCGUGGGGAGCAAACAGG